AUUAUCUCCACUGCUUGUCAAGCCAACAAGACUAAUGCAGGCAGGGAGGAUGAAAAUCAAAACAACUAAAACUCUAAAGGCUGCAGUCUCAUCACCCUUUAAUCCAUAUACAGCACUUUGGAGAAAACAGUUCAAUCCACAGCAUGGGAGUAGACUCAAGAGAGCUUCCUGAGGCCAAAGAUGCUUUUUGGCUUUUCCCAGACCUAGGUCCCACUUUCAGAACUACAGUGAGUAUGGAUUUACAGGGACACGCAAUGAAGACAAAACAUCGACCAAGAAACAAAUCCAUUCCCAUUUCACGACAGCGCAGCGACCCCCUGCCCCGGCAUCACGCUACUUCAUGCAGAAAUGGCAAAAGUGAAAACAACAGCUGUGCACUCUGUCUCUGACAGCCCUGGGCUCGAGUUCCUUUCAGAAAAGCAUAUUAGUAUUAAUAAAGUUCAACUGAGUGUUCA
rnacentral:lncRNA from 1 species